AUGAAGAUGAUCGUUUAGAAUCCAAACGAUAAAGUAAAGCAUCCACAAGUUCAAGUUGUGACUAUCACUAUGUGCCGGCUUUUUGGUUUUACCUGUAUCACUAAUCACUGUAAUGAUGCAAACCGAUGGUUCAUGACUCCGUCUGCCCCUGGUCACACGGAAGCUGUGCUUUCUGUAACUUUUAGUCCUUACGGGCGACAAUUGGCAAGUGGUUCGGGUGAUACCACCGUUCGAAUAUGAGACCUCAAUUCCCAGACACCAAUGUACAUAUCCACAGGACACGAGAAUUGGGUCCUUUGUAUAGUGUGGUCACCCGAUGGAAAGCAUCUUAUGAGUGGAAGCAAGGCUAGAGAACUUAAAUGUUGGGAUCCAGAGACAGGAAAGCCAUGAGGCAAUCCACUCACUGGUCACAAGAAAUGGAUUACUGGUAUCUCUUGGGAACCAAUCCACUUGAAUUCUCCAAUUUGCUUUCUAAGUUCUAGCAAAGACGGGGAUGCAUGCACAUGGGACAUUACUUUGAGGAAAUGUGUUAUUUGUCUUAAUGGCCAUACACUUGCAGUGACUUGUGUGAAAUGGGGUGGGAAGUGAUAUACACAGGGUGGACCUUUCUUAUAUUCUUAGAACUGUGAUUAAACAAUUUUUUCCUUCUCUCAGGAUUGUACUAUAAAAGUCUGGGAAACCACACAAGGAAACUGAUUUGUGAACCGAAGGGUCAUGGACAUUGGUUUUUACCCAUGCAUUGAGCACCAAAUAUGUUCUUUGGACGGGAGCUUUUGAUCAUACUGUCAAACAGUAUUCAUCUCCUGAGGAAAUGAAGAAGGCAACUUACUUGUUUUUGUUGCGCUGAAGAGGUACAACAAAAUGAAAGGGAAUGCUCCUGAAAGGUUUGUUUCAGGAUCCAAUGAUUUUACCCUGUUCCUCUGGGAACCUGCUGUUAGCAAACACCCCAAAACUUGUAUGACAGGUUAUCAACAGAGAAAAAAAUGCAAGGGGCAGGAGGAUUCCUGCUGGAGAAAAGGGAGAGAGAAGUGGGCCAAAUGUAGCAGCUCCUUUGGAUGACACCUGGCAAGCUAAUAUUGUAGGGAAUGAGUGAGUGAUGGAAAUUUGUAUAUAGGAGAGGGAAGAGAGUGUGGGGCGGCACCUAUUGAGAGAGAAAAAUUAUUGUUAAGCUAUUUGUAUUUGGGAGCACCAGCCUCAAGUAGCCAGAUUUUAUGUUAAUCUUUACUGUUCCUGUGAAUGUCUUUUUCUUGUUAUUUUCUUAAUGAAUGACUUAAAGUUGAUGGAUAUAAUAUGGUUUAUGAAUACCUUCUUUCCC